CAACAUGAAACAAGACCCACAACCGACGGAAACCCUAGCUGAUUGGCUUGCUCCCUUCCCCAGUUCCCCGCCUCCUCUCCGCCGCCCUUUUGCCUCCUCCUCUCCGCCGCAUCCUGCCCCCAUGAACUGGACCGAGCGGAUUUAGUGCUCCCUUCCUCGUCGGCGCUCGGUCCGCAGAUGCGACGACCAAGAGGGAAGGAUGAGCGGUAGUGGCCCACUCCCUCCUCUUGGCUGCCGGCCUCUCCCUCCCCUGGCCGUCGCCUUUCUUUCCCCACACCGCAUCCUCUCCUUCGCGCAAUGGGCUCGUCUCCCCUCCAAGGACGAAAUCCAUGGGGAACACGAUCAACAGCGUUGAGGAUGCGGCCGUGGCAUGAGAAGUCGACAGCGCCGACAAGGAUGGAGACAGGAAGUCGCUGAUCCGGUCUGCAGCUUGCCUUUGACACGCGGCCGAUGUACUGGCCGCCAUCGACGACGCACAGCUUUAUCUCGCACGGGUGGCACUGCUUCGACUCCCACCCAGACAUGUAAGUGGCAUUCCAUCUCUCGCUCUAUCUUGUCUGAUUGAAAGUUUGAGGAGAUUAUUUCUCGUAUGGGCUUGUAGAAGUGUUACUUCUGGAGGUUAAGUUAUGACGAUUUCAUCUUGUUGGGGCUUGUAGAAGUGUUACUUGUGGAGGUCCAUCUGACGAUUUCAUCUGGUUGGUUCGCUAAGAUCAGAAAAUGAGAAGGGCCACAAUCUGAGAUGUCUAGGUAUUGUACAGAUUGUUUCCUAGGUUGCAGAAGGUACACAUGAUUUUCAGUUUUUGUGGGUUAGUUUGCCUCUUUCUUGCAAAGUUCAGAUUGUGCUUCUAUAUAGUGUUGAUAAUUUAUAAUCUGUAGAUUACAGGUAUGCGAAGAAAGAUUCAUUAGAAAAUAUUAAGCACAUCUAUUUGUAUAUAGAUAUAAAGUGAAGAAUCCGUAUAUUGUGAAGAGCAUUGGGUUUGUUGUAUUACCGUUCUUUCAGUAAUAAAUGGCUCCUGACCAAGGAAAGUAUUCAUGAAUCUACCGACUAAAUUUAACAAGUAUAGUGCUUCAACGCCUACGGUAUUUCAUCUAUGAAGUCAGAUGUGUUCACUUAUUUGGUAUUGCUUAAGGAGAUCAUUGGUGUGUGGGAAAUCAAUUGAAUGGAAACUGCCCACUUCAUCACACUUGGUAUCCUAGGUAUAAGAUGACGCGUCUUCAUUUUCUAUUGGUCUAUUGGUACAGAGUUUCCUGUAUCCUCCGUUGUGUUCCAAGUCAGCUGGUUCAGAGAGACUUAUGUUGAUAAUUUCUUUUUUUUUAAACAUGGCACACAAUGCACUCAAUUCUAUAGGCUUCUUGGAGGCCAAUCUUUGGGAGUUCUUUUCUUUGGCUUGGUUGUCAAAGUUUAUUCCAGAGCCAACCUUUGUGCCAGCCACUGAUGCAAGCAAGAAAAAAGUUAGAAUGAACAAUCCAGGGAGAUAACUACAUCACCAUAUCAAUAUUUUUUUUUUACUGGAGGAUAGCUGAGUACAAUUUAGUUUUUUUUUGUGGAAAGCAGACUUAUGAUGAUAGUUCGAAUAAAGAUAUGAUGCAAAAGUAUUGCCGGUAAGUCUUAUUCAGUGCUAUCAUUACAGCUGCCUGGUAAGAAACUAAGAAUGUGUCUAAAUCAUUAAGAUUACUUGUUUUAUCAGGCCUGCACUCGUCAAACUUUCUUCUAGGUGAUAUUAUUAUUUUCCAUGAUUAAAAAGAGGGUAUUUUUCUUCAAUAUUUGCCAUGAUUAAAAAGAAGUGGGUAAAACUGUUAUGGAUUUUAGAAGACAAUGCCAAUGUCCAUUGGCUAUGUUAGUGAUCAAUUGUUAUGUGAGCACUGCCUCCGCUGCACUGAGCACGUGCUCAUCCACCGACCCGUGCUUCUCCUCCAUCGUUGCCCUGAACUCCUUUGCUUGAUAUCUGACCUUGUCGUCUUCUUCAUGCAGGCUCUCCAUUGUCCGUGGGUUAUUUCUACAAGACAAGCCCAUCUCGGCAUGACAGAGAGGGGUCUGGAUAGAAGAAGAGGGGCAUGACCACGAGGAGAGGAGGAGGUCGCACCACACGUCAGCACGUUGUGCAUCCUUCAUUGUCUAGGAAAACAGAUUUGCAUGUCAGAUGUUUUGAGCCAGAAACUGCAAGAAGCAGAACUCAGCUGUUUAGCUUGAUGGCCAUCUAGGUGAAUCAUUUCGUGCUUCAUGUGCAGAAUAAUUCAAAGAAUCAAAUUUCAUUGCAGGAACGCUACACAGCUGGAAAAGCAAUUGGCUAGAAACUCUGGCCUCUCUUCGAUAUUUGAGAAGCAAACUCUAGAUAGCUCAGUGAACAAGAGCUAUAUCCAAGUUAACAAAGGCACUGUCAAUUGUGUAUCGUUGGGAAUAAGGAGAUGUGCUUUCUCUAUGCGUGUUGUAGAUGACAGAAUUCUAGAUUUGCUUUAUAGUGGAGUUACCAAGUGAUGUAAGGGCACACAGACUUUGAUUUUCUUCAAGCAAUAAUAUAAAGCACCCGACUUUGAUUUUAUAAA